CUUGGGUUUUUCUUCGGCCAAGAGCUGUUCACACCUGUGGGAACACUGGGUCAGUGCUCACUGAAUGAAUGAAGGAAAACGCUCGCACCGCAGCCUGUGACUGUCAUCUGCUUCCCUGCAGCUUCCUGUGGGGAGAAAGGGCUGCCAGCGGUCUGUCCUCUCUCCCUCCAGACACUGAGCAUUUUCUCUUAAACAUUAACAAAUGAGCAAACUUGAGUGUGGUGCAAGGUUCAGUGAGCAAAAGCUGGUUUUCCAUGGUUUCAGUUUCUGGACCAGUGAUGAGGACCAGCUAGCACACAGGGACCUCACAGAGUGGAAGGGACGGCGAGCACCCCAGGAAGACGCCGGCUCUCAAGGCGCUGCCGUCCACACCAUCUACUCCUGACCAAGCAUGCAGCGUCCACUGGUUCCCCUUUCCCCAUCCCCAAUCCUUUUACUGGACACGUCUUUACUAUACGACUACAAAGGACCAAGCACCGAAAUGCACAGGAUGGUGAAAUAGGCAAACAGCGCUUUUAGCCUGAUGAGACGGAGGUCCCCCUGGCGGGGACACAGGUAGCAAGCAGGUGAGUUCAGCACAGGGAGACAGAUGCCGAGGCAGAGGCGCAUGGGAGCACCGGGCUCUGGCGGGCUGGGAGAGUGGUUGUCUACACUAAAAACUGAAGGAUGAAGAAAAAGGGUCGAAGAAGUUAACAAGAUGUAACUCACAGAGAUAUGUUGCUCAGACUACACUCGAACUCCUAGGCUCAAGGGAUUGUCAAGGCUCAGCCUCUGGAAUAGCUGGAACUACCUACCAUGUCUGCCUCAAAGAACAGUUUUUUAUUACAAUAUCCUCUAUUCCAAGGGCUGCUAAUCUGUGAAUCAUGAUUCUCUUCAACUCUAUCAACUCACCACGGACAAGAACUUGGGUAACAACAAACCAACUAUGAUGAUCCUUGGCUUUAAUUUUAUAACAGGAUAUAAGCUAAAGUUAGCAAGUUCAGUCUAACAGAAGAAGAAAAAGAAAAGCU